AUUGAACGCUGGCGGCAGGCUUAACACAUGCAAGUCGAGCGGAGAGAGGUAGCUUGCUACUGAUCUUAGCGGCGGACGGGUGAGUAAUGCUUAGGAAUCUGCCUAUUAGUGGGGGACAACAUUUCGAAAGGAAUGCUAAUACCGCAUACGUCCUACGGGAGAAAGCAGGGGAUCUUCGGACCUUGCGCUAAUAGAUGAGCCUAAGUCGGAUUAGCUAGUUGGCGGGGUAAAGGCCUACCAAGGCGACGAUCUGUAGCGGGUCUGAGAGGAUGAUCCGCCCAACUGGGACUGAGACACGGCCCAGACUCCUACGGGAGGCAGCAGUGGGGAAUAUUGGACAAUGGGCGCAAGCCUGAUCCAGCCAUGCCGCGUGUGUGAAGAAGGCCUUAUGGUUGUAAAGCACUUUAAGCGAGGAGGAGGCUACUUUAGUUAAUACCUAGAGAUAGUGGACGUUACUCGCAGAAUAAGCACCGGCUAACUCUGUGCCAGCAGCCGCCGUAGUAA
rnacentral:rRNA from 1 species